rnacentral:lncRNA from 1 species
AAGAAAGGGAUAAACAUGGCAUUACCCCCUAAAUCAGUUGUGGAAAUAGCUAUGUGGCUUUAAUCCACUGGAAGAACAUUCCUGAAAGCCUCUGUUUUGUAAGGAAAUGAACUAUAAGUGACUACCACUUCAUGUCCUGGCCUGUUGCUCCUGGGGUUCCCUUUCCAUAGAGCACACUGAAUGUUGAUGGUAACCCUAUCUCCUCCUCACCUGUUUCACUUUCAGAUGCUGAACUGUCUGGUGUGACAGAGGUGCCUUCAGGAGAAAAAAAGCAGAUGACAGAUUCAUCUUUCUGAAUUUUACUCAUCAAUUACCUCAGGCAUUUUGAUACUGAGAAUUUGAAAAUAGAACUUGUUAACUCUAAUCCUCGCAUAUGAGGACUGUAUUUAGUCCUUCCUACCUGGCCUGGAGCUCUGUGAAGUGCUGCUGGCUCCAGGUGAAACCACAGUUGUACCUAUUAAGGAAAGUGGUGGCCUCUAAGGGAAACAAAGAGAUAAGUGUUACCUGGAGAAUAUUUAAGGAUUGUGGAGAAGAUAUGGUGCUACUCCUGCAAAAAAUAAUACAAAGGAGAUAUCUAAUUAUGGGAGGGCACGUGGAAGAUUCCAUGUCAACCUGUUGACUUACCUGUCUUGGAACUGCCAGGGGCAACAGUUGUGCCAGGAGCUACUCCAGUGGUGGCUGAAACACAAGAGGAACUGGCAUCACCACAGUGACUCCCGCUUGUGUCCUGAAGACCUGCCUCUAGAAGGAAUCUGUUUACAUCAAAGGCCAGUAGUAACUGGAUGUCAAAGGCCACUUUCUCUGGCUGCCACUCGGAUGUGUUUUCCCAUUCAUUAAUAAACUACCAAGUUGGGGCAUUAUAUCUAGCAUCCCACGACAGUGAGACAGAUAGUUUUCUCCCAUAUUUACCUAUUUCACCGCUAGGAGUAGAAGACAAAAAAUAUUUGCUUUAUAAUAAUUGUAUCUAUUUCUAAUUACAUUUUUAAUCGACACAUAAUUUUACAUAUUUCCAGCGUGAGGUUUUGAUAUAGAUGUAUACACAUUGUAAUAGUCAAGUCAUGGUCUUUAGCAUAACCAUAAUCUCUGACAUUUAUCAUAGCUUUGUGGUAAGAAAAUUUAGAAUCCUCUUGAUAUGGUUUGGCUGUGUCCCCACCCAAAUCUCAUCUUGAAAUGUAGCUCCCACAAUUCACAUGUGUCAUGGGAGGGACCCGGUGGGAGAUAGUUGAACCAUGGGAGUGGGUCUUUCCCCUGCUGUUUUUAUGACAGUGAAUAAGUCUCACAAGAUCUGAUGGUUUUAUAAAGGGGAGUUCCCCUGCACAAGCUCUCUCUUGCCUGUUGCCAUGUAAGACAUGCCUUUCGCCUUCCACCAUGAUUGUGAGGCCUCCAUAGCCUUGUGGAACUGUGAGUCCAUUAAAUCUCUUUUUCUUUAUAAACUAUGCAGUCUUGGGUAUGUCUUUAUCAGCAGCAUGAAAAUGGACUGACACAUAUCUCUUCAAGGUAUUUUCAAAUAUAUACUAUAAUAUUGCUUACUAUAG